UACGGGGGGGGCAAGCGUUGUUCGGAAUUACUGGGCGUAAAGGGCUCGUAGGCGGCCAACUAAGUCGGAUGUGAAAUCCCCAGGCUUAACCUGGGAACUGCAUCCGAUACUGGAUGGCUUGAAUCCGGGAGAGGGAUGCGGAAUUCCAGGUGUAGCGGUGAAAUGCGUAGAUAUCUGGAGGAACACCGGUGGCGAAGGCGGCAUCCUGGACCGGCAUUGACGCUGAGUGAGCGAAAGCCAGGGGAGCAAACGGG
rnacentral:rRNA from 1 species